AUUGAACGCUGGCGGCAUGCUUUACACAUGCAAGUCGAACGGUAACAGGCCGCAAGGUGCUGACGAGUGGCGAACGGGUGAGUAAUGCAUCGGAACGUGCCCAGUCGUGGGGGAUAACUACUCGUAAGAGUAGCUAAUACCGCAUACGAUCUAUGGAUGAAAGCGGGGGACCGUAAGGCCUCGCGCGAUUGGAGCGGGCGAUGUCAGAUUAGGUAGUUGGUGGGGUAAAGGCUCACCAAGCCAACGAUCUGUAGCUGGUCUGAGAGGACGACCAGCCACACUGGGACUGAGACACGGCCCAGACUCCUACGGUAGGCAGCAGUGGGGAAUUUUGGACAAUGGGCGCAAGCCUGAUCCAGCAAUGCCGCGUGCAGGAAGAAGGCCUUCGGGUUGUAAACUGCUUUUGUACGGAACGAAACGGCUCUGGUUAAUACCCGGGGCUAAUGACGGUACCGUAAGAAUAAGCACCGGCUAACUACGUG
rnacentral:rRNA from 1 species